GACGAACGCUGGCGGCGUGCCUAAUACAUGCAAGUCGAGCGAUGAAGAUUGGUGCUUGCACCAAUUUGAAGAGCAGCGAACGGGUGAGUAACGCGUGGGGAAUCUGCCUUUGGGCGGGGGACAACAUUUGGAAACGAAUGCUAAUACCGCAUAACAACUUUAAACAUAAGUUUUAAGUUUGAAAGAUGCAAUUGCAUCACUCAAAGAUGAUCCCGCGUUGUAUUAGCUAGUUGGUGAGGUAAAGGCUCACCAAGGCGAUGAUACAUAGCCGACCUGAGAGGGUGAUCGGCCACAUUGGGACUGAGACACGGCCCAAACUCCUACGGGAGGCAGCAGUAGGGAAUCUUCGGCAAUGGACGAAAGUCUGACCGAGCAACGCCGCGUGAGUGAAGAAGGUUUUCGGAUCGUAAAACUCUGUUGGUAGAGAAGAACGUUGGUGAGAGUGGAAAGCUCAUCAAGUGACGGUAACUACCCAGAAAGGGACGGCUAACUACGUG
rnacentral:rRNA from 1 species